UACAGAGACUGCAAGCGUUAUUCGGAUUCACUGGGCGUAAAGGGUGCGCAGGCGGCCAUGUGUGUUAGGCGUGAAAGCCCGGGGCUUAACCCCGGAAUUGCACCUAAAACUACAUGGCUAGAGCAUUGGAGAGGGUAGCGGAAUUCACGGUGUAGCAGUGAAAUGCGUAGAUAUCGUGAGGAACACCAGAGGCGAGGGCGGCUACCUGGACAAUUGCUGACGCUCAGGCACGAAAGCGUGGGGAGCAAAAGGG
rnacentral:rRNA from 1 species